GGGGAAUCUUCCACAAUGGACGAAAGUCUGAUGGAGCAAUGCCGCGUGAGUGAAGAAGGGUUUCGGCUCGUAAAACUCUGUUGUUAAAGAAGAACACCUUUGAGAGUAACUGUUCAAGGGUUGACGGUAUUUAACCAGAAAGCCACGGCUAACUACGUGCCAGCAGCCGCGGUAAUACGUAGGUGGCAAGCGUUGUCCGGAUUUAUUGGGCGUAAAGCGAGCGCAGGCGGUUUUUUAAGUCUGAUGUGAAAGCCUUCGGCUUAACCGGAGAAGUGCAUCGGAAACUGGGAGACUUGAGUGCAGAAGAGGACAGUGGAACUCCAUGUGUAGCGGUGGAAUGCGUAGAUAUAUGGAAGAACACCAGUGGCGAAGGCGGCUGUCUAGUCUGUAACUGACGCUGAGGCUCGAAAGCAUGGGUAGCGAACAGGAUUAGAUACCCUGGUAGUCCAUGCCGUAAACGAUGAGUGCUAAGUGUUGGAGGGUUUCCGCCCUUCAGUGCUGCAGCUAACGCAUUAAGCACUCCGCCUGGGGAGUACGGCCGCAAGGUUAAAACUCAAAUGAAUUGACGGGGGCCCGCACAAGCGGUGGAGCAUGUGGUUUAAUUCGAUGCAACGCGAAGAACCUUACCUACUCUUGACAUCCAGAGAAUUUGCUAGAGAUAGCUUAGUGCCUUCGGGAACUCUGAGACAGGUGCUGCAUGGCUGUCGUCAGCUCGUGUUGUGAAAUGUUGGGUUAAGUCCCGCAACGAGCGCACCCUUAUCCUUUGUUGCCAGCACGU
rnacentral:rRNA from 1 species